GUCUACGGCCAUACCACCCUGAACGCGCCUGAUCUCGUCUGAUCUGGGGAGCUAAGCAAGUACUUGGAUGGGAGAAAUCUGUGUGAUUCCCUUCUGCAGCUGAAA
ensembl:rRNA 5S_rRNA 5S ribosomal RNA